AGCACCAACACGAAUGAGAUACACAACACCAGAGGGAGCUGUUCUAUCAGAAUCAUCGCGAGAUUUGCUGACCCGGCAAAGAGCAGAUUUACACACGUUUGGACAUGUGCCACUCUGCCGACACCAGAAGAGCCAGACUACUUGAGGACAUAGCGGUGCUGUUGACGAUCAAUAACGGCGCUGAAGGACAAGAGGAAAGUGAAACGACCUUAAAAGUGGCGAGUCUUUCAUCCAGGAGCCAACGCGAGCUCCUGUUACAGCUUUGGGGCAGGUAUUCAUCUCUUUAUGUAACCGCAGACCCGCUUUUAAGAGUCGAGUCGAUCGCUUGUGGCCGCCGAUGUGAGGUUGUGACGGCGUGUAGCGUUUCAUCAAGAGGAUUCUUUGAAGAGGUUCAAUCGGGCUGAGAUAAUAAUAGAGAGGAUGCUCGAGGUGGGAAGCGUUCAGACGGCCAGGAUGAAUCAAAUGUGCCACGCAAACUCUGUUGAACGGACAUUUAUAUAAGGCUUCCUGACCUUUGGUGUACUCGUAAGCAUUUUUGCAAUGUUGCAUCAUCGCCAUAACGAUGACAUCGUAUUUUAUAAGCAGCUCACUUGCAAACGGAUGACACAGCAUCACAGAUCUUGCUGAAUGCGACUUUAACUGAGGGCGAAGGUUUGACCUCAAAAUUGUUUUAUUUAUCUAUUAAUAGUCAGUCAUGUGAUGUUACCACUUAAGUGACCUCGCUGCCUGUCAAGGGUUACAAUUAUAGCGGCAUCAUCCAAUUUGACCUGCAAUACAAACAAUCUCCUCCGAAAGUAUUAGAACAGCAAAAUCAAUUACUAUGGUAAAUACUCACUUUUUGU